GCCGCGGUAGCUCAAUGGCAGAGCAUUCGCCUGAAGAGCGAUUGGUUGGGUGUUCGAUUCACCCCCGCGGCA
rnacentral:tRNA from 1 species